GCUAACGUGUGGCCACGAGUCGGGGGAAUAGGAAGGGGGCAAGCGUUAAGCGGAAUUACUGGGCGUAAAGCGUGCGUAGGGGGGUGGUUAAGUCAGAUGUGAAAGCCCUGGGCUCAACCUGGGAACUGCAUUUGAUACUGGCAGGCUAGAGUGCGGUAGAGGGGUGCGGAAUUCCUGGUGUAGCAGUGAAAUGCGUAGAGAUCAGGAGGAACAUCCGUGGCGAAGGCGGCACCCUGGGCCAGCACUGACACUGAGGCACGAAAGCGUGGGGAGCAAACAGGAUUAGAUACCCGGUUAGUC
rnacentral:rRNA from 1 species